rnacentral:lncRNA from 1 species
UUCUUCCCAGCGACAAUGCAGUACUUCAAGCAAUCAUCAAGCCUCCGCUCAUUCUUCCCAUCGAUGUAACCUUCUGAGCUAAACCCACAGAUCUGUCCACCGAAUCGGGUCGGGAACUUGGAGGUGUCGAACCGAUCAAUCAAGCUGAUUCCACUCUCGCCGGAGAGCAGCUUCUCGUAGUAAGCGUCGACGUCGUUGCCGAAGACGGAGACGAGGCCCAUUCCGGUGAUUACGACCCGUUUCUUCGGGUAUGUUUCGCGUUUGGGGGCGGAGGUUGAUGCAGAGAUGAAUGAGCGUCUUCUCGUGGGUUGUCUCAUAUUUGUGGUGAUGUGGUGAGAUCGGAUUGAGGGUUUUAGGAGUGGGUUUGGUGGAGAGGCGCGGAGAGAUGAAGGGUGAAGAGCUUGCAUGGCGGAUCCGAAGAGAGAGAGAGUGAGAGAGAGGCGAUAAGUACUAUGUUUGUGUGAAAUGGUGUGUGUGUGUGUGUGAGAUGAGCGUUUGUGGAAAGAGGUUUUGGAGUUCGUCAGAUUUGACGAGCAGAUGAUAUUUAACUCAAUUAAUAUUUACAAAUAUUUUAAUUAGUUUUCUUUUAAAGUCCCUUGAUAUUUAUAACUAUUUUAGUUUUGGUCAUAAAGUUAUGUUAUCUUUACAAUUUGGUCUUCAGCUGACGUAUUUCCGUAGACUAGUUAAUAGGGAUGUUGUCGUGGGCUCAUUUCUAAAGGGUUAGCCCGACCCGCAUGAAAAUUUAUAACCCUAAACCCGUAUUUUUUAAUGUGGGUUAAGAAUGGGCCGCCUAAUUUUACGCUAAGGUACCAAUAGGGUUAAUUAUUUCCCAUCUCUCUUUCAGUCAUAUCUUACAACUCGACAUCGAAAUCAAAAUCAAAGGCCGUUCUGAAUCAAAAUCAAAGGUUCUGGGUUUGUUUUAAAUCGAAAUCAAAGGCGAGGGGUUUGUCCUGAAUCGAAAUCGAAGGCCAUAUGUUCUUAUGAAGACGAAAAUGAAAUCGAAGGCUAGGGGUUUGUUCUGAAUCGAAAUCAAUGGCCCAUCUCACAUGGAUCUUCUGAAAACAAAAACGAAAUCAAAGGUAUCUCUCGAUCUUUUGGGUUAUCUUCUCUUAGACUUGUAGACUUCUAGUUGUAUUUGUAGAUGAGUCCUUCCUUAGAUGUUCCCUUUUGACAAUGUAAUGGUGUUAUCAAUGAACUUUGGACUUGAUUUGUAUUGGGUCAGUUCACAGCUGUGAGUUUUAUGAUUUUGGAUUUGAUUUUGAACAGAUUACCAGUGGAACUGAGUAGCUGUGUGUUGAGUCUAAGAGUUGGGUAUUAGUUCUUCAAGGUUAGUCCUUUUCCAUCUCUCAUAAUAGCUUAAGCAAUGAAGAAUACAGUUUCUGCUCUAUAAAAUUUACUCUAUUAAAUGCAAAGCUACUGUGAUCUUAAAGUUCCAAAUAAAAUUGAGACAUAGCUUUCCUAAUCACACUUGUUUGUUACUUGUUUCCAUGGAGAAUCGGUUCUUGUAAUGUGUUAUGUGACUAGCUUCUGUUCUUUCAGUUUUGUUCUGUGUCUAGCUUGUGAAUGUGUGACUGCACUGACUGAGUAUUAAAAGGAAACCGAUAUUAUAUUGCUUUGCUUCAGGAGGACCAAUCCGUUUUAGAAAAGCUAUUGGACAUCUUGGCAUCUUGCACCUGAGCUUGGGAAUCUCGAACAUUUACAAUAUUUGUAAGUCAUCACAUCUUUUGGGAAGCUCGAACAUUUACACUAUAUGAAUAAUAUUUGUUCUUUUUGUUUGUGUCAAUGUCUGAUCUUACAACUCAACUCUCUGUGGUGUAAUUGUCUUGCGUGUGCCUAACUUGUGUUCUCUUAGUGGUUAACUUGUGUUCUUCCAUGUGUUCAAUCAUAUUUGCUUCAAAGAAUCCCAAAGUAAUAAUAUAAUUUUUAUUUUUUUGUUGCAGGCUGCAGCAUGGACUCACAAACAGUACAAAGAAUGGCAGCUCUUGAGGCAGAAAACGAAUUGAUGGACUUGGAGUAUAAUGAAGAUGAAGACUCCCAAGAAGAGGAACAUGAUCUUAGUGUCAAUGAAUCUGCUCACUCAACACAUACUCAACGUCCAAAGAGACACACACACACUCCACGAGCUUCACGAUCUCCACGAGCUCCACGAUCUCCACUAGCUCCACGAUCUCCACGAGCUUCACGAUCUUCACGAGCUCCACGAGCUCUAAGAGCUAAACGGCCUAGACAGGUACGUAAAAAAACUUCUAAGUGUUGGCUACACUUUACAUCGGUAGGCGUAGAGUCUGAUGGUAAAGAAAGGGCUAAGUGUCACUACUGUGGUAUUAAGUUAGUUAUAGAUAGGACUCAUGGAACUUCAACAAUGAAUCGCCAUUCACGCUCUUGUCUAGAAAAACCUGAAACCGAAGUUGUUGAAUAUGAUCCCAAAGUUGAUAAGGAAAUGGUUUCUGAGAUUAUAAUUUAUCAUGACCUUCCUUUUCGCUAUGUAGAAUACGAAAAGGUUAGGGAGAGAGAUAAAUAUCUUAAUCCAGAAUGUGAGCCUAUAUAACUGAAUCAAUCUUAAAAAUUUGAACUCUGAUCAAUCUACAAGAACACCCACAAGUUGAAAACUUUGAUUAAACCCAUCAAAGAGAAACCAAACCUCAUGACUAAAGACAUGAACUUUAAACUGAAUCAAUCUUAAAAAUUUGAACUUCGAUCAAUCUACAAAAACACCCAAAAGUUGAAAACUUCGAUUAAACCCAUCAAAGAGAAACCAACCUCAUGACUAAAGAUAUGAACUUUAAACUGAAUCAAUCUUAAAAAUUUGAACUCUGAUCAAUCUACAAGAACACCCACAAGUUGAAAACUUUGAUUAAACCCAUCAAAGAGAAACCAAACCUCAUGACUAAAGACAUGAACUUUAAACUGAAUCAAUCUUAAAAAUUUGAACUUCGAUCAAUCUACAAAAACACCCAAAAGUUGAAAACUUCGAUUAAACCCAUCAAAGAGAAACCAACCUCAUGACUAAAGAUAUGAACUUUAAACUGAAUCAAUCUUAAAAAUUUGAACUCUGAUCAAUCUACAAGAACACCCACAAGUUGAAAACUUUGAUUAAACCCAUCAAAGAGAAACCAAACCUCAUGACUAAAGACAUGAACUUUAAACUGAAUCAAUCUUAAAAAUUUGAACUUCGAUCAAUCUACAAAAACACCCAAAAGUUGAAAACUUCGAUUAAACCCAUCAAAGAGAAACCAACCUCAUGACUAAAGAUAUGAACUUUAAACUGAAUCAAUCUUAAAAAUUUGAACUCUGAUCAAUCUACAAGAACACCCACAAGUUGAAAACUUUGAUUAAACCCAUCAAAGAGAAACCAAACCUCAUGACUAAAGACAUGAACUUUAAACUGAAUCAAUCUUAAAAAUUUGAACUUCGAUCAAUCUACAAAAACACCCAAAAGUUGAAAACUUCGAUUAAACCCAUCAAAGAGAAACCAACCUCAUGACUAAAGAUAUGAACUUUAAACUGAAUCAAUCUUAAAAAUUUGAACUCUGAUCAAUCUACAAGAACACCCACAAGUUGAAAACUUUGAUUAAACCCAUCAAAGAGAAACCAAACCUCAUGACUAAAGACAUGAACUUUAAACUGAAUCAGUCUUAAAGAUUUGAACUUUGAUCAAUCUAAAGAGAGUAGUACCGUGUUAAGCUUAUCACCACCAAGAUUUGCACUUUCAAGAGCCUUCUUCCCAGCGACAAUGCAGUACUUCAAGCAAUCAUCAAGCCUCCGCUCAUUCUUCCCAUCGAUGUAACCUUCUGAGCUAAACCCACAGAUCUGUCCACCGAAUCGGGUCGGGAACUUGGAGGUGUCGAACCGAUCAAUCAAGCUGAUUCCACUCUCGCCGGAGAGCAGCUUCUCGUAGUAAGCGUCGACGUCGUUGCCGAAGACGGAGACGAGGCCCAUUCCGGUGAUUACGACCCGUUUCUUCGGGUAUGUUUCGCGUUUGGGGGCGGAG